rnacentral:rRNA from 1 species
AUUGAACGCUGGCGGCAGGCCUAACACAUGCAAGUCGAACGGUAGCACAGAGAGCUUGCUCUCGGGUGACGAGUGGCGGACGGGUGAGUAACGUCUGGGAAACUGCCCGAUGGAGGGGGAUAACUACUGGAAACGGUAGCUAAUACCGCAUAACGUCGCAAGACCAAAGUGGGGGACCUUCGGGCCUCACACCAUCGGAUGUGCCCAGAUGGGAUUAGCUAGUAGGUGGGGUAAUGGCUCACCUAGGCGACGAUCCCUAGCUGGUCUGAGAGGAGGGCCAGCCACACUGGAACUGAGACACGGUCCAGACUCCUACGGGGGGCAGCAGUGGGGAAUAUUGCACAAUGGGCGCAAGCCUGAUGCAGCCAUGCCGCGUGUAUGAAGAAGGCCUUCGGGUUGUAAAGUACUUUCAGCGGGGAGGAAGGCGGUGAAGUUAAUAACUUCACCGAUUGACGUUACCCGCAGAAGAAGCACCGGCUAACUCCGUGCCAGCAGCCGCCGUAA